GAUGAACGCUGGCGGCGUGCCUAAUACAUGCAAGUCGAGCGAACAGACGACGAGCUUGCUCCUCUGACGUUAGCGGCGGACGGCGGAGUAACACGUCGAUAACCUACCUAUAAGUCCGGGAUAACUUCGGGAAACCGGAGCUACUACCGCAUCAUAUAUUGAACCGCUCGCUUCAUUAGUGAAAGACGGUUUUGCUUUCACUUGUGGAUGGAUCCGCGCCGCAUUAGCUAGUUGGUAAGGUAACGGCGUACCAAGGCAGCGAUGCGUAGCCGACCUGAGAGGGGGAUCGGCCACACUAGAACGGAGACACGGUCCAGACUCCUACGGGAGGCAGCAGUAGGGAGGCUUCCGCAAUGGGCGAAGGCUUGACGGAGCAACGCCGCGUGAGGGAUGAAGGUCUUCGGAUCGUAGAACUCUGUUAUUAGGAGAGAACAAGUGUGUAAGUAACUAUGCACGUCUUGACGGUACCUAAUCAGAAAGCCACGGCUAACUACGUG
rnacentral:rRNA from 1 species